UGGGGAGCUGAGGCUCUGGGGGUG
rnacentral:miRNA from 3 species